GGGGACCCUACCCAUCUUAGGAUCUCUAACUUGCGAACCCUGUUUAAGCGGGGAUCACCCAUUGAAGUUUUAAGCAUACCAAUAAAGAGGAAGGAAAAA
rnacentral:rRNA from 1 species